UGGUUUGUUAUUCAUGAGGUUAUGAUAUGUUGUGUGUCAUUGGUAAUGCAUGAUAGAAGGCACUAGGGUAGCCCUUUUGGCUUGCUUUUCAUUUCCUACCUAUGCAUUCACCCCUAGUGAGCCCAUUGCAGCCUUGACCAUGUUCUUUGUUGUUAGUCACUAAAAUAAUUAGCCAAGGCCUGUUUUGGACUCUCUCUUUGACCCUAUUGUGCAUGUUUGAAUUGAAUUACAUCCUAUUUGAAUUCUGGAGGAAGUUGUAUCUGUCUGCCCAAACAGAAUCCAUGCUGAAAACUGUUCUGAACCGUGGAGGGACGAUCUGUUUGGCCAAGUCAGGGACUGUUGUUGAUGGUUGGGCUAAGUUUUUCUGUACUGAGCUGAAUUGUGAAAUGAUUCUCUGUAUGUGGUUUGAAUAUGUGAAUAAAAGGUGCUAGAAAAAAAAAAAGAAAAAGAAAAGAAAAGAAAAAGAAAAAAGAAAAAAAGAAAAAAAAAGAAAAAAAAAAUGCACCAAGUUGAAUUAGUUGAGCAUGCAGUUGAUUGUGAUGAUCUUGUUGCCCAAGGAUGAGUUAGUGUUUGUUCCUCGUAUGCUUAGUGUUUUUGGAUGUGAUUCGGUUUUAAUAUGCACAAUACUUGAUCUUCAAUAUUUGAGCUUAGGACCCCUAGGAUCUUGCCUACAUCAUUGAUAGUCCUUAGCCCCAUUACAACCAAUGAGAAAAGUCCUUUUUGAGUUACUAUGUGACC
rnacentral:lncRNA from 1 species